rnacentral:rRNA from 1 species
GGGAUAACUAUUGGAAACGAUAGCUAAUACCGCAUAAUAGUAGAUGUUGCAUGACAUUUGCUUAAAAGGUGCAAUUGCAUCACUACCAGAUGGACCUGCGUUGUAUUAGCUAGUUGGUGAGGUAACGGCUCACCAAGGCGACGAUACAUAGCCGACCUGAGAGGGUGAUCGGCCACACUGGGACUGAGACACGGCCCAG